rnacentral:lncRNA from 1 species
GUUGCAAAUCAAUCUUGUUCCUAUGAUUUCUUCAACUAUCACAGCGUGUCUUCUUUCGUCCAAGUUGAAAAGUAAUAUUCGUCGAGUGGCAAGGAGUGUUUCCAAAUGUCAACUGAAGAAGGUUGCAGUGCGAAAAAAGCGGGUUGGUUCGGAGGGGAAAAAAACUACUUCGGUUUGUUCCGACACAACAAAGUAUAUAAAAGAAACCGAAAACUGCCGACUCGAGUAUGUCAACAGAUGGCGCGAUUGACUACGACGUCGUGGUGGUGGUGGUGGUGGAAGUGGAAGGUGAAAUUGGGGCUACGGAAGAGGAUGAAAGCUGCUGCGAUUGGAGGCUGCAGGUUAACAAGGAGGUAGACGAUGUCAAGAAAAAAGAAGCACGACUGCAGAGCAGAGUAUCGCUCGACGGUUGGAGUCGCGAUUCAACAACUGGGUUCAACGGACAAAUCAGCAAACCCAUGGCGGGUUCAGAACAACGGUGGUUUUAGUAUGCGGCUCCACGGCAGGAUGUUAUGUGUGCGUCUGCCUUGGGUUAUAUCUUCGUCUGCGAUAAGAACCCCUCCCUUUUGAAGAAAAACACACCCCACGUCUCGGAGGAGUUCAACCUCGUCUCGGAUGGCUUGAAUGCAAUUCAGCAAGGUUCAGCAAAAACAAUCCAGAAGAAGAAAGAAGAGUCCAAUAGGCUGUCAUUUUGUAAGAGGAAAAUGGUUCCGAUUCCAUUUUCCGCCACACGACGAUGACAGGAAACUCUUUCAAGUCUAGUCGUUUUUCCUCAUCGAGUCUACAGAAGGAAGGCCAACCAAACAUACAACUGUAUGGACAGACAGAUGCUAUCUUCACAACUAGGAAUAGACAAGGGGCUCUCGUCAAACAGCGACACCUUUUGUUUGUGCUGUAAGAAUGUCAAGGUUUAUUGUUUUCUUUCAUGUCAUUAAGUAGACUGAAGAACGAAGAGGGCAGGUACAAAUCCCCCUCUGGGUCGCAUCACCUUAUAAUGCGCAAAAGAAUGCAAUUAUGGCCGACAUCCAAGGUCGGAAACUGGUUCCUUCUUCCCAUAUUUCGUAUGUUUGGUCGUUUUUUUUUUUUGUUGUUGCCGGAAUUGAUGUAUCAUCGUACUGCAACUACCAUUUAUGGUUUCAUCCAUAAACAAAUCGAAUAAAAACUCCAGUGGGGUAGUACGUCUACGAAUAACACACAAAAGCCAGCUAUAUCGCUGAGCCAGUUUUGCAGUCGUGUCCACACGUCUUUCUGAAUUCUUGGUCUACGUGGAACAAGACACGGUGAAAAAUUCAUGAAAUAUUUUCAUCUGUCUAAUGAUUAUAAAUGUUGUAAGAUAGCAGCAUGACAGUGAUUUUCUCAGGCAAAUGUUUGGAUAGCGACAGCAGUCGGCCAUUGUCCUUGACCAGUUUUGGUUGUGUUCCUCCCUCUAUUCUUUAAUUACACAUUUGGUAAGGGGGAAAAGAAAAAGACCCGAGGGAAAGGAGGGAAAACGCCCCUGUCUGAUGGGCGAAUGAAAAACAUUUCAUAAGUCCUAAACUUGAAUAAGCCCAACCCAGAAAAUUACACAAAACAUUCGUCCUUCAUUUUUAUGAGCAAUCAUUCUUCGUAAAAUGGAUGGAAAACGUUUUCAGGACGACAGGACAUGGGAAAAAUAUGGCCGUCUUGGUCGCGCGGAAGUGUCACGUAACCUUCGUCUGACGGCCGGGUGUCAAGCUUCAUCGUGACCUGAAUAUUCUUUAUGUGAAUGUCUCGAGAAUCGAGAAAACAAAAAUGAAGCACCAACAGAAAUGCGGUAAUGAGCAGGGAACCAGGCCCAGCGUUAGCAGACGACGUUACAGAAAAUCUAUAAUUAGUAUCCGGUUUAGUGAGAGCACGAGGUUCGACGAACGUGACAGAUGAAUAAAUCCCUAAAUAUUCUACAGCAAAUAUAUACAAUUUCACUCACCAAACAAAAAAUUUCAAAAUGUGCAGCUGAAUAAACACACACACAGAGACGCCAAGGUCUGCUGCUAGUGCCUGUGGCUUUUUUCUUUUUCCCCGAAAAGAGAAAAUGCCUGAAAUACGAGAUACUUGGAGAGUUCAUGGAGUGUGUGCAUCGAUUAAGAUUAGUAGAAGUAGAAAAGAAGAAGAAAAAAAAUAACUUUUUGGACAGCCGCCAACGGUCUAGUUUCACUGUGCACGAGACGUUGCCGGCCAAAAGUUCCGAAUGCCGGCUAUUUUAACCAUCGCCGCAAGUUACGUGUCUUACCACUACUACCACUACUGCUAGAACGUACUUCUUGGAUGCUUGUCACGUGAUAACGCAUCUAACCAGCGGUUCAGUCUUUUACGCGCUACAUGAUUCACGCUGCUCACUGCAAUUACUCGUUGAGAGGGGGGAAGAAAAAGGGAUAAGCCUAACCGAGGCGUGGUCGUCGCUAGUAGUAGCGAUCAAUAAAAUCGACCCUCGUAUGCGUGCAGGGUGCGCUCGUGGACGACUAUACGCCCUGACUACUUUACUGUCAAACCGAAGAAAGUAUAAUAGAAUGUCACAAAUUAAAAAGGACACAUACCGAAAAGGAAUCCUUCGACGUUACUCCACCAAAGUUGAGCAGUUGACUAAAAUGGAACGAGAGCACGGGAUCUGGCAACGCUGUGACUCUUACAUCGCCCUCGUUCUCUUCGCGUGUGUUGACUCGCAAUAACUGGUGGGAAAAGAAAUCAAAAAUCAAGGGAAUGACGAAGAAUAAUGAUUUCUCCCGAAAUAGAAAAGGUGUUCAUAGAUGAGCGCAAAGCUCAUCACUGCAUUUAGGUCUUUCACCACACACGUUUCUUAUAGACAAGAAAAUGAUAGAAUUCUAAACUAAAGUGCAUUUAAAUGGGGAAAUCAGUCCUCGUGAUUUUUCGUUCGCUCAAGGCAGUUUAUACUAGUUUGCGAUCAUGAAUUGCACACGACGUGGCAUCGUGAAUGGUUGCCAUAAAUUAUUACGACACCAAAAAAACCUUAAGUCUAGUAAUCAUUCUAAGACAAAGGCUUUUAGUUUAACGAAGCACAUAGUUAGUCUUUUUAUCUUUAUGUAUUUGUAUAAAGGUUAAACUAAGCUCUUUGAAAUGGUGAUGAGGGUGGAGGCGGAGUCUAAUGAAAAACGGUCACGUGACGGACUGCCGCGAGGGUCCAUUGCACCAUCGCGGGCUACUUGCGGACCCAACAUUCGAAAUGGUUAAAAGUUUGAGAACGAUGAGAAUUGUAAAGAAAGAAACCAGGGUUUAGAAUUACGCAUUCAGGAGGUGUCUAGUUUUCUGUGUUUCAUGACGGUCAAGAGAAAAGAAUGAUUCCAGUUCUGACUUGGCGUGAUGGAUCGACUCCAUUCUCUCUUUCUCUUCUCUUUCUCUUGGUCUCUCGCUUCCUUAAUCGGAAUUUGGAAUAGAUUAUUCCCAUGUUUGUCUGUCAAUGGCUCUUAAACUUUUUCCCUAUUCAACCUAUCGGCCAUUGAUAAGAGCUUAGCCAAUGACAGAACAAAACGGCCACUACGGUAGUUCUGGUCGGUAAACCCCGAUUAAAUAUUUGAUUCUACUUUGCCGCCAACGUGACAAAAACGGGAACUUUCCAAUACUAGAGCUCCUGUUUUUCCAGUUCUCGUUGCUUUUUUGUUUAUGCUCCUUUUCCUGCCGUAAUCGCACCUUAUGAGAGUCGUCGGCAAUUUCCAAACUUAAUGUAUUGCUACUCACAAGGUGACUCAAACAAGGAACCUGUUUUUAGGGGUUUUUUUGUAUUUCCUGCAAGAUUCUUAAAUUCAUCGCUGCAUGAAAGGAACAAAAUUAACUGGUUUCAAGAUCAGAUCUGUCUUGAUCAGUUGAAACGGAUGAUGAUGGAUUUACGAUGAUGACUAUCGCGCACAGGUUCCGAAACCAAAUAAGACGAAAUUCUCCAGAAAUGCAUUUUUGUUAUUUCUCCACCCACCAUUCUAGGCCAUACCCUUGGCCGGAAAAGAUUUGUGGAAGUAAUUUAUUGAUUAGAUCUUUGGAAAUCUGUUGUUUUGCUAAAGGUUAAGGGGUGUGUAUUUUCCCGUUUGAUUUUGAUGGACAACAUUAGAUUUGUUAGAUUUUAAUGGAAAGCACGUUAAGGACGCUUAGCUAACUGUCCUUCUAAUUUUCGCUUGUUGAUGAAGAGCGUGACGUGGCAUUAAAGCGAAAAUGAGGCCGAGGUACUGUAUUGUCUAUUGGCAAGGAACUCCGCAAAAACCAAAGUGGGCGUGGGUCUUCACUUUUUUUUUUUUUUUUUUUUUUAUCUUUCGUUUUUAUUUCACCG